rnacentral:misc_RNA from 1 species
AACCUUGAAAGGCUGUCGAUGGCCUACAACGAUUUUUUACCUUCAAGACCGCCUUCCAAUUUCACCCAGCUGAAGAAACUCAAGUGGUUCUGGAUUUCUGAUGCAAAUCUGAUUGGAGAGAUUCCAGAAACAAUCGGAGAAAUGGUGGCACUGGAGCACUUGGAUUUAGCGCUAAAUAGAUUAACAGGGAAUAUUCCCAAUAGUUUGUUCAUGCUGAAGAACUUGAGAAUGCUGUUUCUUUACGAUAACCGGC